rnacentral:rRNA from 1 species
AUACGGAGGGUGCAAGCGUUAAUCGGAAUUACUGGGCGUAAAGCGUGCGCAGGCGGUUUGUUAAGUCAGAUGUGAAAGCCCCGGGCUCAACCUGGGAACUGCAUUUGAAACUGGCAAACUAGAGUGUGGUAGAGGGAAGUGGAAUUCCUCAUGUAGCGGUGAAAUGCGUAGAUAUGAGGAGGAACACCAGUGGCGAAGGCGACUUCCUGGACCAACACUGACGCUCAUGUACGAAAGCGUGGGUAGCAACCAGGAUUAGAAACCCCGGUAGUCC